rnacentral:rRNA from 1 species
AUGGCUCCCCUCUACAUACUACUCGGUCUUCUCCUCUUGCACACUACUCCUUGGUGCUUCUCUGCAGCUGUAGAUGAGGACACUCUCAUGGCAGGCCAAACGCUCGCCGUUGGCGACAAGCUCGUCUCCAGGAACGGCAAGUUCGCCCUUGGCUUCUUCCAGCCAGCAACAAGCAGCAGUAUCAGUAAGUCGUCCCGCAACGCCACCUCCUCAAGAUCCAGCUGGUACCUUGGCAUAUGGUUUAAUAAAAUCCCAGUUUUGACUACCGUGUGGAUCGCUAAUAGAGAGGAGCCCAUCACCCACCCCAACCUCAACUCAGCACAGCUCAAGAUCUCAAACGAUGGCAAUCUUGCCAUCGUAGUAAACCAAGGUAGCAACACUCAAUUUAUAGUUUGGUCCACUCACAUUGUCAAUAAUAGGACACACAACAGCCUAAACAUCACCGGCGCUGCCGUUCUCUUGAACAGUGGAAACCUUGUCCUCAAAGAGAGCCGGUCAUCUGACUUAUCGGUGUGGCAGAGCUUCGACAACCCAACAGAUGUUUGGCUUGCUGGUGCCAAGUUUGGCCGGAACAAGGUCACCGGUUUUAGUCGUUAUGGCAUCUCAAAGAAGAGCCUCAUUGAUCCAGGUCUCGGCUCAUACAGUAUUGAACUAGAAGGCACCAGGGGGAUUGUCCUUAAGCAUCGUAACCCCUCCAUAGAAUACUGGCUUUAUGCAUCCUCCACAGCAGCAUCGUUGGUACCAUUAGUCAAUUCACUGCUAAGUUUGGAUCCUCGGACUAAAGGUUUAUAUAACCUAGUAUAUGUCAAUAAUGACAAAGAAGAGUACUACAUGUAUACUUCACAUGAUGAAUCAUCUUACAUGUUUGUCUCACUAGACAUCUCUGGUCAGAUAAAGUUGAAUCUUUGGUCCCAAGCAAAUCAGUCUUGGCAAACAAUAUAUGCCCAGCCUGAUGAUCCCUGCGACCCACCUGCUGCCUGUGGACCUUUCACGGUCUGCAGAGGGAAGCCUCAUCCAUCAUGUGACUGUAUGGAGGGCUUCUCUAAGAAGUCACCGCAGGAUCGGGAGUUUGAGGAUCGAAUAGGAGGAUGCAUCAGAAAUACACUGUUACAUUGCACUAUUGAAAAAAACAUCACAAUUUCAACAGACAUUUUCCAUCCGGUUGCUCAAGUUACACGGCCCUACAACCCACAAAUCAUAGCUGUUGCUACAACUCAGAGCAAAUGUGAAGAAGCUUGUCUCAGUUCAUGCUCCUGCACUGCUUAUUCCUAUAACAAUAACAAAUGCUCUGUCUGGAAUGGGGAAUUGCUUAGUUCAAAUUUUGAUGAUGGCAUCGAUAGCACUUCCAAAGAUGUUCUUUAUCUCCGCUUUGCUGCCAAAGAUUUCUCGGCAAAUUUAAGAAAAGACAAAAGAAAACCAAAUGUUGGGGUUGUUACUGCAGCAAGCAUUAUUGGUGUCGGGUUACUAAUGCUCAUGUUGUUGCUACUAAUUUGGAGAAACAAAUUCAAGUGGUGUGUUUUGCUGCCAAUAUACUCUGACAAUCAAGGGAGUGCUGGUGGGAUUGUAGCCUUUAGAUACACUGAUUUAGUUUGUGCUACUAAAAAAUUCUCAGAAAAACUGGGAGGAGGUGGUUUUGGUUCAGUAUACAAGGGAGUGUUAAGUGACUCAAAGACUACUAUAGCAGUCAAAAGGCUUGAUGGUGCCCAUCAAGGAGAGAAGCAAUUCAGGGCUGAGGUGAGCUCAGUUGGACUGAUCCAACAUAUCAACCUAGUAAAAUUGAUUGGUUUCUGCUGUGAAGGUGAUCACAGAUUACUUGUGUAUGAACACAUGUUAAAUAGGUCUCUUGACGGCCAUCUAUUUAAAAAGAGAAAUGCUGCUGCUUCUGCUGCUGUUCUAAAUUGGAACACUAGAUAUCAAAUAGCCCUAGGAGUUGCCAAAGGAUUGUCCUACUUGCAUCAGAGUUGCCACAAAUGCAUCAUACACUGCGAUAUUAAGCCAGAGAACAUACUUCUGGAUGCAUCAUUUGUUCCUAAAGUUGCAGACUUUGGGCUGGCAGCAUUUGUGGGAAGGGAUUUUAGCCAAAUUCUGACUUCAUUCAGAGGAACUACAGGUUAUCUUGCCCCAGAGUGGCUUAGCGGAGUUGCGGUGACACCAAAAAUUGAUGUUUAUGGCUUUGGCAUGGUGCUGCUGGAAAUCAUAUCAGGAAGGAGGAAUUCGUCACCCGAGACAUCACACUACACCAAUAGCAGCAGCAAUGUGGACCAACAUGUUGGAUAUUUCCCUGUGCAAACCAUCAGCAAGCUUCACAGCGGAGAUGUAAAGAGUUUGGUGGAUCCACAGUUACAUGGUGACUUCAGUUUGGAAGAGGUUGAAAGGGUUUGCAAAGUUGCAGGCUGGUGCAUCCAGGAUAAUGAAUUUGAUCGGCCGACGAUGGGUGAAGUGGUCCGGGUUCUUGAGGGCCUACAUGAGAUUGAUGUGCCGCCGAUGCCAAGACUACUUGCAGCUCUAACGGAAUAG